GACGAACGCGGCGGCGUGCCUAAUACAUGCAAGUAGAACGCUGAAGCUUGGUGCUUGCACCGAGCGGAUGAGUUGCGAACGGGUGAGUAACGCGUAGGUAACCUGCCUGGUAGCGGGGGAUAACUAUUGGAAACGAUAGCUAAUACCGCAUAAUAGUAGAUGUUGCAUGACAUUUGCUUAAAAGGUGCAAUUGCAUCACUACCAGAUGGACCUGCGUUGUAUUAGCUAGUUGGUGAGGUAACGGCUCACCAAGGCGACGAUACAUAGCCGACCUGAGAGGGUGAUCGGCCACACUGGGACUGAGACACGGCCCAGACUCCUACGGGAGGCAGCAGUAGGGAAUCUUCGGCAAUGGACGGAAGUCUGACCGAGCAACGCCGCGUGAGUGAAGAAGGUUUUCGGAUCGUAAAGCUCUGUUGUAAGAGAAGAAACGAGUGUGAGAAGUGGAAAGUU
rnacentral:rRNA from 1 species